rnacentral:misc_RNA from 1 species
CCACAAAGACAAAGCAACCAGUAUGUCUUCUUCUUCUGCUUCUUCUGUCAGGCCAAUAAAGUAUGAAGUAUUCCUUAGUUUUAGAGGUCCAGAUACUCGUUCCAAUUUUACUAGCCAUCUUUAUGGUACUUUGCGUCGAUUUGGAAUUCCGACCUUCAUAGAUGAUAGACUUGAAAGAGGAGAAGAGAUCGAACCAGCAAUCUUGAGAGCAAUUGAAGACUCUCGUAUUUCAGUAAUUAUUUUCUCAAAAGACUACGCAUCUUCAUCCUAUUGCUUGGAUGAACUUGUGAAGAUCUUUGAAUGCAAAGACAAAUAUGGACAAAAGGUUAUUACUGU